AUAGUGGCAGUGAUGAUUGCACAGCUAAAUGCCAGUUCUGCUUCAGAAAAAUCUUGAUAGAAAAAGCUGUUUUUCUCUGAGCCAUAU